CAGGUCUUGACAUUGAUGGACAGAACCAGAGAUGGUUCCUCUUCUUCGGAAGCCAGAAAACAGGUGGUGCACGGUUGUCGUCAGCUCGUGUCGUGAGAUGUUGGGUUAAGUCCCGCAACGAGCGCAACCCCUAUCUUAUGUUGCCAGCACUUUGGGUGGGGACUCAUGAGAGACUGCCGCAGACAAUGCGGAGGAAGGCGGGGAUGACGUCAAAUCAUCAUGCCCCUUAUGACCUGGGCUACACACGUACUACAAUGGGAGUUAAUAGACGGAAGCGAGAUCGCGAGAUGGAGCAAACCCGAGAAACACUCUCUCAGUUCGGAUCGUAGGCUGCAACUCGCCUACGUGAAGUCGGAAUCGCUAGUAAUCGCAGGUCAGCAUACUGCGGUGAAUACGUUCCCGGGCCUUGUACACACCGCCCGUCACACCACGAAAGUCGGAAGUGCCCAAAGCCGGUGGGGUAACCUUCGGGAGCCAGCCGUCUAAGGUAAAGUCGAUGAUUGGGGUG
rnacentral:rRNA from 1 species